GUAAACGAUGCUAACUCGUUUUUGGGGCUUUAAGCUUCAGAGACUAAGCGAAAGUGAUAAGUUAGCCACCUGGGGAGUACGAACGCAAGUUUGAAACUCAAAGGAAUUGACGGUGGCCCGCACAAGCGGUGGAUUAUGUGGUUUAAUUCGAUGAUACGCGAGGAACCUUACCAAGGCUUAAAUGGGAAUUGACAGGCUCAGAAAUGGGUUUUUCUUCGGACAAUUUUCNAGGUGCUGCAUGGUUGUCGUCAGCUCGUGCCGUGAGGUGUUAGGUUAAGUCCUGCAACGAGCGCAACCCCUGUUACUAGUUGCUACCAUUAAGUUGAGGACUCUAGUAAGACUGCCUACGCAAGUAGAGAGGAAGGUGGGGAUGACGUCAAAUCAUCACGGCCCUUACGCCUUGGGCCACACACGUAAUACAAUGGCCGGUACAGAGGGCAGCUACNCCAGNGAUGUGAUGCGAAUCUCGAAAGCCGGUNUCAGUUCGGAUUGGAGUNUGCAACUNGACUCUAUGAAGCNGGAAUCGCUAGUAAUCGCGCAUCAGCCAUGGCGCGGUGNAUNCGUUCCCGGGCCUUGUACACNACCG
rnacentral:rRNA from 1 species